CGCCUCUCAAGUUUAACUUGGUAUUGAGAUUGUGGUUAUCUGCAUUCUUUAAAUAUAUACGGCUGAUUAUCCAAAUCGACGCGUCUGAAUCAUUCCGCUAAGUUUUGAAUAAUCAUGCUCGAAAACCUAUUUUUAAA
rnacentral:misc_RNA from 1 species